UACUAGAGUAGCACUCGCAUAUCAAUAAGCGGAGGAAAAGAAACUAACAAGGAUUCCCCUAGUAACGGCGAGUGAAGCGGGAAGAGCUCAAAUUUGAAAUCUUAAAGGGUUUCCCUUUACGAAUUGUAGUUUAAAGAAGUGUUUUCUGUUGAGGUUUUGGUAAAAGUUCUUUGGAAUAGGACAUCAUAGAGGGUGAGAAUCCCGUAUUUGACCUUUACUUUCAACUUUGUGAUACACUUUCAAAGAGUCGGAUUGUUUGGGAAUGCAGUCCAAAAUGGGUGGUAAAUUUCAUCUAAAGCUAAAUAUUGGCGAGAGACCGAUAGCGAACAAGUACCGUGAGGGAAAGAUGAAAAGAACUUUGAAAAGAGAGUUAAACAGUACGUGAAAUUGUCAAAAGGGAAGCGUUUGACACCAGUGUUGUUUUUCUGAAAAUCAAUUAAGAGAACUGUUUAUGCUAAGCUGUUUAGACUUUAUCAGCUAUCUGUUUAGUUUUGAGCUUUUCUUUAAUGCACUUUUCAGUUAACAAGUCAACAUCAAUUUCUUUUGCUGUAAAAAAGCUUGAGGAAGGUGGCUUGAGAUUCGUCUUAAGUGUUUAUAGCCUCUUGCCUAUGCAGUCGGAGAGAUUGAGGUCUGCAGCGUAGAUCCUUCGGGGCUAAAUGCAUUUGUGCUAAGUUAUAAGCACUUUCAUAGACAACUUGUUGACUAUGAUUUGUCUUGUAGCUUACUCGCUUAUGUUAUUUUACCUACGCUUAGGAUGUUGAUAUCGCGCUCUCACUG
rnacentral:rRNA from 1 species